rnacentral:rRNA from 1 species
AACGAACGCUGGCGGCGCGCCUAAUACAUGCAAGUCGAGCGAGAAGGUGUAGCAAUACACUUGUAAAGCGGCGAACGGGUGAGGAACACAUGGGUAACCUACCCUCGAGUGGGGAAUAACUAGCCGAAAGGUUAGCUAAUACCGCAUACGAUUCCAGCACUUCGGUGCUGGAAGGAAAGCACUACCGUGGGUAGUGCGCUCCUGGAUGGGCUCAUGUCCUAUCAGCUUGUUGGUCAGGUAAUGGCUCACCAAGGCUUCGACGGUAGCUGGUCUGAGAGGACGAUCAGCCACACUGGCACUGCGACACGGGCCAGACUCCUACGGGAGGCAGCAGUAAGGAAUAUUGCGCAAUGGGCGACAGCCUGACGCAGCGACGCCGCGUGGGGAUGAAGGUCUUCGGAUUGUAAACCCCUUUCGGGAGGGAAGAGGGAAUGGGGCAACCCAUUCGGACGGUACCUCCAGAAGCAGCCACGGCUAACUUCGUGCCAGCCGCC